rnacentral:lncRNA from 1 species
UGUAUGAGCUGUAGGCGAGAUUCUGAUUUUGUUUACACCCUUGUAGAUAAAAGGAUAUUUCUAUAAAGUAACUAACAUUUUUUGGGAUUUAUCUUGCAGCACUGAGUAUCAUGCACAUGAAUGUUUGACAGAGCAGAGGUGAGAAGUGGGAGUUUUUGUCCAUUGAGAAAGCUGGGCAGUUUGACAGAUCAGGAAAACAGGACCAAAACCAGACUUUAUAUGGAACUUAUACUUUUACUCUUUCCUCAUUUCUACGUUUUCCUCCUGAAAACAAAACUCCAUGAACCAAGAUGAUGGUAAAAAGGAGAAAAUGCUUGUGGCAAUAAAAAUGCGUGACACUACAUAAAAAUAAACAAGUGACUAUGGACAAUGGGGGAAGUUAUGCAGAACUGGUGAACUGUGUUCUACUCCUGUUCCCAGUAGCCGUCAUUUUUCCAGCCUUGGCAGGCCAGACUGAAGAAGAGCACGUGAAAAGUGUACCAGGAGAGCACAGCAGCCUGCACAAGCCUAUGGGAGGGGGGAAAAAGUUACAGAGGGAGGAAAAUUACAGAAAAAUGUGGACCCCAAGAGAGUACCUCUGA